ACUCCCGGUCUCUUCCUCUGAAGAUGCUGGAGACUUUGUUGCAAGAAAGGAUGGCUUUAGGUCAUGUUGCUGAGGCCUGAUCUUAAAGAUCUAAUUGCUAUUGGAAGAGAAUCCUGUUUCCCAACUGGGCCUCCCCUCUGGAGAUGGAGCAAGGAAGACUGUCCAACUCUGCUCUGGGCACCCUGCUGAUGGAUGAGGUGUCAGGCCAGUCGUCAUGUGAGGACUGGUUUCCAAAUGAUGAGAAAACUGAGGCUCUGAGAGAUGACAUCAUAAAGCCUUGUAAGACCCAGUUGCUGUGCUCCACCUUCAUACCUUCGCCUAUGUUAGAACUUCUGAGAAGCUGAAGCAUCACAUAUAAAAAGCCAAGACCAUCCUCAAGGAGUUUAAUGAAUGUGGCAUCACAAGAAAAAUAUGCAUCAACAUUGAAAAGCAAAGCCUUCCAGCCAGUUCAAUGGUGGGAGUCUCCCCCUGCUCUUCCUGCACAAUCAUUUCCCAUUGAGGAAGAAUGUGAAAAUGACGCACAGGUGAGGGAGGCAUACUAUAAGACCGCUUCUUACCUUUCGUUUCCUGGAGCCAAUAUGAAUGAAGACCCAGAGAG
rnacentral:lncRNA from 1 species